UUUAAUGGAGAGUUUGAUCCUGGCUCAGGACGAACGCUGGCGGCGUGCCUAAUACAUGCAAGUCGAACGA
rnacentral:rRNA from 1 species